rnacentral:rRNA from 1 species
UACGGGGGGGGCAAGCGUUGUUCGGAAUUACUGGGCGUAAAGGGCUCGUAGGCGGCCAACUAAGUCAGACGUGAAAUCCCUCGGCUUAACCGGGGAACUGCGUCUGAUACUGGAUGGCUUGAGUUCGGGAGAGGGAUGCGGAAUUCCAGGUGUAGCGGUGAAAUGCGUAGAUAUCAGGAGGAACACCCGUGGCGAAAGCGGCUCUCUGGGACGGUACUGACGCUGAGACGCGAAAGCGUGGGGAGCAAACAGG